UUACCUUUAGGAGGUCAGGUGACUGACACUUCAGAAGAAAAAGUCAGUAUUGCUUCAUGGAUUGACUAACAGAAGUAGCUGCAUACAUGACAGCUGAAGAUGCACUUUCCCUGGGGACUAAGCGCAGUAUGUUCAUGACAAGUGCAGCUAUCGCUGGUUGGGGGCUUGAAAGAUGAUCUUGUUUCUGAACCCAAGACUUCGCAUUGGUGUCUCAUCAGUGCAGCCUGGACCCCUGAACAAGCUCAUAAUAGAAUAUUGCUAUGUCCUGUGAAGACCAUUCUGCUUUCUGGGCCAGUGAAGACCAGGCCUCUAGAAGAGGAGAACUGCAAUAGCUGCACAGCUGUAUGAACAUUCCCUGCUAGCUGUCAGUUGCACUUGAGGUCUGCAUGCCACAAUCCAAGCCAAAGAGAAAGUGCUCUAGUUGCAUUUGGCAGAGGGGAACUGAGGAACUAUAGAGAUGAGAGAAUUGACAGCUGCCAAAAUGAUGGAGUGGAGUUAGCUUUUCCUCUAAAACCUGCAGGUGACAGACUCUGUUGGCCAAAGCAAAACAACACUAUGUAUCGAGUCAUAACUGACUGAAAAACUUGAAAACAACUGCAUCUUUCAAACAUGGUAUAAAGAUCAUGUCGUUUUCAGGAGUACCCAGAUGAAGUCAAGGCUCCAUUGUGCUAGGUGCUGUACAUUUACGUAGCAAGAGACAACUGCUGCCUCAAAGAGCUUACCAUCAAACUAGACAAGACAAACAGCUGGAGAAAGCAAGUAUUAACUCAUCUUACAGAUGGGAAAUGGAAGCACAGAGAAGCUAAAAGGGCUGAGAAUGACAUUCUGCCCCCCGCACUCCCCACUCACCAAUGUGCUUAACCAAAAUGCAUCCUCCCCUCUUGUAAACUGGUUGGUUGCUGCAUUUAGCCCAGAGGUAGGUGCUUCCCAGUAAUUCUGUAUGAAUAGAGUUUUUAAGUGCUUUAGAAUUUUAUGGAAUGAAAUAAGCUAU